UACGGGGGGAGCAAGCGUUGUUCGGAUUUACUGGGCGUAAAGGGCGUGGAGGCGGCCACCGCAAGUCGGUUGUGAAAUCUCCGGGCUUAACCCGGAAAGGUCAACCGAUACUGCGGGGCUAGAGUGCAGAAGGGGCAACUGGAAUUCUCGGUGUAGCGGUGAAAUGCGUAGAUAUCGAGAGGAACACCUGCGGCGAAGGCGGGUUGCUGGGCUGACACUGACGCUGAAACGCGAAAGCUAGGGGAGCGAACGGG
rnacentral:rRNA from 1 species